GGUGCUGAUAACGAGACACGUCACGGCAGCAGCUAAAAAUAUCUGAGAAACGAGAUAUACCCUCGAUGCUUAUAGUUCCCGCCAUAGUAAACUCGAUUAGCCGUUCGCGUUGAAUUUACAACAUCAGCAUAUAGCUCACGGGUUGAAAAGCAUUGAAAUUAAAAAGCGCCUAGUACAAAGUUAUAGCAAUACUCAAAUGACGGCGCUCCAAAUAUCUGAAUUCUAUUAGAAGGGUCCAAUGUGUUUGUGUUAUGGGGCUUCGAAACGGGCAUGUUUUGCUGCAAUUAAUGGCUGUACUGUUGGCAACUAAUGGCCCCACCAUUACAAAAAUAUUUUAAUGCA